AUUGAACGCUGGCGGCAGGCCUAACACAUGCAAGUCGAGCGGAUGAAGGGAGCUUGCUCCUGGAUUCAGCGGCGGACGGGUGAGUAAUUCCUAGGAAUCUGCCUGGUAGUGGGGGAUAACGUCCGGAAACGGGCGCUAAUACCGCAUACGUCCUGAGGGAGAAAGUGGGGGAUCUUCGGACCUCACGCUAUCAGAUGAGCCUAGGUCGGAUUAGCUAGUUGGUGGGGUAAAGGCCUACCAAGGCGACGAUCCGUAACUGGUCUGAGAGGAUGACCAGUCACACUGGAACUGAGACACGGUCCAGACUCCUACGGGAGGCAGCAGUGGGGAAUAUUGGACAAAGGGCGAAAGCCUGAUCAAGACAUGCCGCGUGUGUGAAGAAGGUCUUCGGAUUGUAAAGCACGUUAAGUUGGGAGGAAGGGCAGUAAGUUAAUAACUUGCUGUUUUGACGGUACCAACAGAAUAAGCACCGGCUAACUUCGUG
rnacentral:rRNA from 1 species